GCCUUCGUGGUGUAAUGGUCAGGACACUGAGCCGGUAUUUCAGAGGUCCGUGGUUCGAUCCCCGGCGAAGGCG
rfam:Stegodyphus mimosarum contig113728, whole genome shotgun sequence.